rnacentral:rRNA from 1 species
UACGUAGGGUGCAAGCGUUGUCCGGAAUUACUGGGCGUAAAGAGCGCGUAGGCGGCGCGGUACGACCGCUGUGAAAGCCCCCAGCUCAACUGGGGAGGGUCAGCGGUAACGGCCGUGCUUUGAGUGCAGGAGAGGGAAGUGGAACUCCGGGAGUAGCGGUGAAAUGCGUAGAGACCCGGAGGAACACCAGUGGCGAAGGCGGCUUCCUGGUCGUGCGACUGACGCUGUGGCGCGAAAGCUAGGGGGAGCAAACGGG